rnacentral:rRNA from 1 species
AUUGAACGCUGGCGGCAGGCCUAACACAUGCAAGUCGAACGAGUGGCGGACGGGUGAGUAAUGUCUGGGAAACUGCCUGAUGGAGGGGGAUAACUACUGGAAACGGUAGCUAAUACCGCAUACCAUCAGAUGUGCCCAGAUGGGAUUAGCUAGUUGGUGGGGUAACGGCUCACCAAGGCGACGAUCCCUAGCUGGUCUGAGAGGAUGACCCGCCAAACCGGAACUGAGACAACGUCCAGACUUCUACGGGAGGGAGGAGUGGGGAAUAUUGCACAAGUGGCGCAAGCCUGAGUAAACCAUGCCGCGUGGAUGAAGAAGGCCUUCGGGUUUUAAAGGACUUUUAGCCGGGAGGCGUUACCCGCAGAAGAAGCACCGGCUAACUCCGUGCCAGCAGCCGCGGUAAUAC